GCCUACGGGGGGCAGCAGUAGGGAAUCUUCCACAAUGGGCGAAAGCCUGAUGGAGCAACGCCGCGUGGGUGAAGAAGGUCUUCGGAUCGUAAAACCCUGUUGUUAGAGAGGAAAGUGCGUGAGAGUAACUGUUCACGUUUCGACGGUAUCUAACCAGAAAGCCACGGCUAACUACGUGCCAGCAGCCGCGGUAAUACGUAGGUGGCAAGCGUUAUCCGGAUUUAUUGGGCGUAAAGGGAACGCAGGCGGUCUUUUACGUCUGAUGUGAAAGCCUUCGGCUUAACCGGAGUAGUGCAUUGGAAACU
rnacentral:rRNA from 1 species